UACGUAGGGGGCAAGCGUUGUCCGGAUUUAUUGGGCGUAAAGAGCGUGUAGGCGGUUCGGUAGGUCCGUUGUGAAAACUCGAGGCUCAACCUCGAGACGCCGAUGGAAACCCCCGAACUAGAGUCCGGAAGAGGAGAGUGGAAUUUCUGGUGUAGCGGUGAAAUGCGCAGAUAUCAGGAAGAACACCCGUGGCUAAGGCGGCUCUCUAGUACGGUACUGACGCUGAGACGCGAAAGCGUGGGGAGCGAACAGG
rnacentral:rRNA from 1 species